UGGUAGGCCGGUGACGUGCA
rnacentral:miRNA from 1 species